rnacentral:rRNA from 1 species
GUAGGUGGCAAGCGUUGUCCGGAAUUAUUGGGCGUAAAGCGCGCGCAGGCGGUUCUUUAAGGGUCUGAUGUGAAGCCCACGGGCUCAACCGUGGAGGUCAUUGGAAACUGGAGAACUUGAGUACAGAAGAGGAAAGCGGAAUUCCACGUGUAGCGGUGAAAUGCGUAGAGAUGUGGAGGAACACCAGUGGCGAAGGCGGCUUUCUGGUCUGUAACUGACGCUGAGGCGCGAAAGCGUGGGGAGCAAACAGGAUUAGAUACCCUGGUAGUCCACGCCGUAAACGAUGAGUGCUAAGUGUUAGGGGGUUUCCGCCCCUUAGUGCUGCAGCUAACGCAUUAAGCACUCCGCCUGGGGAGUACGGCCGCAAAGGCUG